rfam:Sus scrofa chromosome 7.
CAAAAGGCUCUUUUAAGAGCCACUUUCUGUUCUCACUGAGAGUGG